rnacentral:rRNA from 1 species
CAGGCCUAACACAUGCAAGUCGAACGAGAAAGUGGAGCAAUCCAUGAGUAAAGUGGCGACCGGGUGAGUAACACGUGACUAACCUACCUUCAAGUGGGGGAUAACCUCGGGAAACCGGGGCUAAUACCGCAUAACAUCUUUGGAGUGGAAACUCUGGGGAUCAAAGGAGCAAUUCGCUGGAAGAGGGGGUCGCGGCUGAUUAGCUAGUUGGCGGGGUAAUGGCCCACCAAGGCUUUGAUCGGUAGCCGGCCUGAGAGGGCGCACGGCCACACUGGAACUGAAACACGGUCCAGACUCCUACGGGAGGCAGCAGUGGGGAAUUUUGCGCAAUGGGGGAAACCCUGACGCAGCAACGCCGCGUGGAGGAUGAAGUCCCUUGGGACGUAAACUCCUUUCGACCGGGACGAUAAUGACGGUACCGGUGGAAGAAGCCCCGGCUAACUUCGUGCCAGCAGCCGCGGUAAUACA